GUGGGGAAUAUUGCGCAAUGGGGGAAACCCUGACGCAGCGACGCCGUGUGAGGGAAGAAGGCUUUCGGGUCGUAAACCUCUGUCAGAAAGGAAGAACCUCCCAAGUCCGAAUAGGGCUUGGGACUGACGGUACUUUCAAAGGAAGCACCGGCUAACUCCGUGCCAGCAGCCGCGGUAAUACGGAGGGUGCAAGCGUUAAUCGGAAUCACUGGGCGUAAAGCGCGCGUAGGCCGCUUUGUAAGUCGGACGUGAAAGCCCUCGGCUCAACCGGGGAACUGCGUUCGAUACGGCGAGGCUUGAGUCCUGGAGAGGGUGGCGGAAUUCCGGGUGUAGGAGUGAAAUCCGUAGAUAUCCGGAGGAACACCGGUGGCGAAGGCGGCCACCUGGACAGGUACUGACGCUGAGGCGCGAAAGCGUGGGGAGCAAACAGGAUUAGAAACCCGAGUAGUCC
rnacentral:rRNA from 1 species